rnacentral:misc_RNA from 1 species
UUAAUUCUAGGUAGAUUCAGACACAAACGGACAUUUGCAUGAAUACGACGCCGAAACGUCGAAGCACAGCUAGCUUCCUCGGUUUUAAGGGUGAAAGGCCUAAAGGCCAUUCGUCAAUGAUCCCUCCGCAGGUUCACCUACGGAGA